CGAACGUAAGUCCUCUUCCUGGUAAGAUGGCGCUGGGGUUGAUGUGCGGACGCCGGGAGCUUCUGCGCCUGGUACGGCCCCAGCGUCAGUUCCACAGCGUCGCAGGGCCCCGCCAAUGGUCCCGGAAAGCACUGACAGCGGGGCUCCAGUUCCCAGCCGGCCGCUGCUGCGGGCGUCCGCACUAUGUCCUCCUCGCGGCCCCAGGCCCCCGGGGCCUCAGUACCUCUGCCAUCUCUUUUGCAGAAGCCCAGUCAUAGCCUGGGCUACCAACGAAGGGACCCAGAGCAGAGUUUUCCUCUUCACCUGAAAUAUGAGGAACUGGAGCCUUGGUACCAGCAGAGGUCUCUUGUCCCCAUCUGCCUCCUUAGAGAGUCCAGACAAAUUUUGGUGAGUCUCUCCUGGUUCUUGGAUCUCCCACUUAUUGCUUGAUGAUCCUGAGUUUUAUUUGGCAGUGUCUAACAGGCACCUGGCUGUGCAGUUGAAAGAUGCUGGGAGUUACUCAGUUGAGACAUUCUGAGUGGUCUGGACUGGGUGAUUAGCUGAGAAGCUGGCCUAACAUUUUUUCAGAAAGCCAGUCUCCAAUUAACACCCUGCCAGGUUUCUGUGCUUGUAUUUACAAGUAUGUACUUAAUUGGGAAUUAAAGGAAACCUUGCCCUGAAAAUGGCCAAUAGGGGCUCUUUUUAUUUUAUAUGCAGUUAAGCUAGAGAAAGCCAGCUUGAUAAAACAUCUUUUCUGAUCUUAAAAAGAAACAAAAGCCCUUCUAGGGAACUUGCGUUUUUCUCUGUCUUUGAAAUGUAAACGUUCUACCUGAUCUUCUUGCGCGCACGUGUGCUUGCGUGUGUGUGUGUGAAGUUGGUGUCUGCCAUCCGGAAGGUACAUAUAUGGUGUAUGUUUGGCAGCCAGUUGAAUAGACUGAGAUUCUGAGCAGUCUUUUGUCUGACUGCACCAACUCUCAGGGACUUCAGUCAUCUUAAUCUCCGGUGUGUCAGCCUAUAUAACAAAGACCUUUAAUUUCUUAGACUGUAUUUUAAGAGUAAACUUUCUAGAUCUUGUGAAGGCUACAUCCUUUGCACUCUCUUCUGGGGAUGCUUCUUGCAUCUUAUUGGUUUGAGUUGUAAUUAAAAUACCACCUAUCAAUAGCCAUUGGAUCCUUUAAAUUGGAAAAACUUCUAAAUUGGUAAAUUUUUAGAGAGCUGUCAUUAUAAACAGCUGUUUUAUUGGUACCUAUAAAAAAAUAAAUUAGAAGGUGGAUACACACACAAUAGUUAACCUAAGAACUCCCUUUAGUUUAAAAAAAAAAGGGUUUGGGAAACCUUUUUUGUGGUCUCUGCUCCCCCUCAGAGGGUCUUACAGAUGCAAAACAUUGAAGAUAAUGUUAAUGAGGCUGAUUAACAGGGAGGUUAAAAAAAAAUGAAGGGAAAGUCUAGAGUCUUCUUCCCAUCAAGGUGGACAUUUUAAAGGAACUCAUACCAAAUGGAUGAAGAAAUCUUUAGAUGGCUAUUAAGAAAUGAGAUAAAUAAAACGGAUGUUAAUAGGGUUAAAACAAAAGGUUUUGAUACAACACUACCUGAGGUUGGAUGGACCAACGUUAUUGGUCCCCAACAUUAAAGGGCCCCAAACGAGUCCACUCUAUUUACUUACCCCAGUGUAAUGUGUGUGUGUGUGUGUGUGUAUAUAUACUUUUUCCCCCCUUCUAAAGGCUAUAAGAAACUUACACUGCGAUACCUGACCAGCAAUUGCUUGGGGCCACAGGCCAAUUGAUCAAGUUAAAAGAUUGACAAAAGAGCCCGAGUCCCUUGGCUCAACCUCUUACUGGGGACCCCAGAGCCUUUUAUACAAAAAUAGAUUAAAUGAUUGGGAUAAAAAGGAAGUUUCUGGACUCCUUUUAAGACCAAGGCUUGUUGAUGGGAUCCUAAUGGAAACUAAAGUUAAAGGUAUAGAAGUUGAUAGACUUGAGAUAAAAAUUUAUCAAAAUUGGUAUAUUUAAAUGGACUUUAUGUAAGAUGGUUACAUCUCUUUUGCCUAAUUAUAUUGUAGGAUAGAUAUUAUGUCUCACUGGGGAAUGCUUCCCCUGCCUGGUAUUAUAAGACAGGGCAUAUAAAUCUGCCCCUCAGACAAUAUUAAUUAAGCAUACUAAAGGAAACCAGUAGGGUUACCAGAGCCCGAACAAUACAAAGUAAAAACUGAGAGCUAAUAUUCCAGGGUUAAUGAAAAUAGUAAUAGAGAUUUGCUCUGGGUCUAACCGGUGCACUCAGAAAGAGGGCCUUUGUUGAAUGCCUUGUCCAAACUUUUGAAGACAUGAUAAAUUGAACCCUAAGAACUCUUGUUUUUCAGUUUCGUCGGAAAUCUUCUCAGUGAUAUUAAAAAAAACAAAGAAAAUAUAGUUGGGCAAAUCAAUCUUUUAGUAUCAUUUAGGCAACUAACCAGUUCUUUGGGGAAUUAAAAGCAACUGUCUUGAAAAUCUCUACAAAUCAGAAAUGUAAAUUCAGCCCACAAAGACCUGAGCCUGACCCUAAUUAGCUCAAUCAGGUAAAACCUGAAACCAAAGAGGAAAGGCCUUUUAAAAUUCAAACCACUGGAAAGGUUCCCUCACCCAAAAUCUAGUUCAUACCCUCCUUAGGGUUUAUCAAGGAGAAAUACAAAUCUUUUUUUUUUUAAACAUCUUUUUUGGAGUAUAGUUGCUUUACAAAGGUGUGUUAGUGUCUGCUUUAUAACAAAGUGAAUCAGUUAUACAUACACAUAUGUUCCCAUAUCUUUUCCUUCUUGCGUCUCUCUCCCACCCUCCCUAUCCCACCCCUCUAGGUGGUCACAAAGCACAGAGGUGAUCUCCCUGUGCUAUGCGGCAGCUUCCCACUAGCUAUCUGUUUUACGUUUGGUAGUGUAUAUAUGUCCAUGCCACUCUCUCACUUUGUCCCAGCUUACCCUUCCCCCUCCCCAUAUCCUCAAGUCCAUUCUCUAGUAGGUCUGUGUCUUUA